GACGAAGGUGGCGAGCGUUGUUCGGAAUCACUGGGCUUAAAGCGCAUGUAGGCGGCCCGUUAAGUGCCUUGUGAAAUCCCUCGGCUCAACCGAGGAACCGCUGGGCAUACUGGCGGGCUUGAGGCAGGUAGGGGCGCGAGGAACUCUUGGUGGAGCGGUGAAAUGCGUAGAUAUCAAGAGGAACGCCGGCGGUGAAGACGUCGCGCUAGGCCUGUCCUGACGCUGAGAUGCGAAAGCCAGGGGAG
rnacentral:rRNA from 1 species